CUCCCAUAGCAAGGGUCAACAAACCAGAGGUAGAAAAUGCUGACUCAUUUCCAUCUCUUAGUACUACAAGCUGGCGAGCUCUAUAGGAUAGAAUAUAAUCUGUAAAGAGCUGAUGGUCUCAUCAUGGACUGUAGGGGGACCUCUAACUUUAAUAAUGUGAAUGUCUCUACAGUCUGAACCACUAAUUAGCAUGAUGUAUUCAGAUCAUCAGUCCCUCCCACUUCACUGACAUGUUGAAUAUGGUGGAACCUGCCGUGGUCUACUGAUUGUCAUCUAUUCAUCUAUGUGACACUCCUCUUGUUUUAUAUACAUUGAUACCAGACUCUUUCCAGCACUCUCACAUAUAACGUGAUCAAACAUGUUCACAUUUCUCUUCACUGUUACUGUCUCACUGCUCUGUGCUGCAGGUUUUGUUGAGGGGAGUGGAGUCACUCAGAUACCCACCAUACUCUGGAAACUGAAAGACAGUGAUGCUCAGAUUAACUGCAGUCACACUAAGGGAGCUACCUACUACCAGAUGUACUGGUACAGACAGCUUCCAGGAGAGGGAAUGAAGCAGGUAGUCUUCAUUACUCCCAGUUCUCAACCUGACUAUUCAGGGGAAUUCAGUAAAGACAAAUUCUCAGCCAGCAAGGCUGUAGCUGAGAGUGGAUCUUUCACAGUGAAGAAGUUGGAGACAGGAGACAGUGGAAUGUACUUCUGUGCUGUGAGUGAACACAGUGAUACAGACAACAAGUACAGCUGCACAAAAACCCCAGUAUUUCAACAGGAUGUAAUAUAA